rnacentral:rRNA from 1 species
GACGAACGCUGGCGGCGUGCUUAACACAUGCAAGUCGAACGGAAAGGCCCUGCUUUUGUGGGGUGCUCGAGUGGCGAACGGGUGAGUAACACGUGAGUAACCUGCCCUUGACUUUGGGAUAACUUCAGGAAGCUGGGGCUAAUACCGGAUAGGAGCUCCUGCUGCAUGGUGGGGGUUGGAAAGUUUCGGCGGUUGGGGAUGGACUCGCGGCUUAUCAGCUUGUUGGUGGGGUAGUGGCUUACCAAGGCUUUGACGGGUAGCCGGCCUGAGAGGGUGACCGGCCACAUUGGGACUGAGAUACGGCCCAGACUCCUACGGGAGGCAGCAGUGGGGAAUAUUGCACAAUGGGCGGAAGCCUGAUGCAGCAACGCCGCGUGCGGGAUGACGGCCUUCGGGUUGUAAACCGCUUUCGCCUGUGACGAAGCUUGAGUGACGGUAAUGGGUAAAGAAGCACCGGCUAACUACGUG